CGAGUUGGCCAGGUGGUCGCGGGAGUGAUACUCCUGAGGAAGGUCGGGGCUCCAAAGGGCAUGGUGCUGGCUAACGGCCAGUCAGGGCGACCUGAAGGAAAGUGCCACAGAAAGCAGACAGCCAGAAAUGGCAACGGUGAAACGGUGCGGUAAGAGCGCACCAGCAUAAAAGGCGACUUUUAUGGCUCGGUAAACCCCACCAGGAGCAAGGCCAAAUGGAGUUCGGUUGCCCGCCAGAUCAGCAAUGAUUAAACUCCUGGUAGGCCGCAUAGAUGGAUGGCCACCCACGUAGAGAGAUCUACCGGACAGAACCCCGCCUACAGGCCAACUCGACCC
rnacentral:RNase_P_RNA from 1 species